rnacentral:piRNA from 1 species
UCUGCAUCUUUAGAAUAAUUGGAGUCAGU